rnacentral:ncRNA from 1 species
CGACCCCAGGUCAGUCGGGACCACCCGCUGAGUUUAAGCCUAUAAAUAAGCGGAGGAGAAGAAACUUACAAGGAUUCCCCUAGUAACGGCGAGCGAACCGGGACCAGCCCAGCUUGAGAAUCGGGUGGCUUCGUCACCUGAAUUGUAGUCUGGAGAGGCGUCCUCAGCGACGGACCGGGCCCAAGUUCCCUGGAAAGGGACGCCUGGGAGGGUGAGAGCCUCGUCCGGCCCGGACCCUGCCGCACCACGAGGCGCCGUCAACGAGUCGGGUUGUUUGGGAAUGCAGCCCAAAUCGGGCGGUAAACUCCGUCCAAGGCUAAAUACAGGCGAGAGACCGAUAGCGAACAAGUACCGCGAGGGAAAGAUGAAAAGGACUUUGAAAAGAGAGUCAAAGAGUGCUUGAAAUUGCCGGGAGGGAAGCGGAUGGGGGCUGGCGAUGCGCCCCGGUCGUAUGCGGAACGGCUUCUGCUGGUCCGCCGAUCGGCUCGGGGCGUGGACUGUUGUCGGCCGUGCCGGCGGCCUAAGCCCGGGGGCCCUAGGUGCCUCCGGUCGCCGUCGUCGGCACGGCCGGUCUCCGCGCGCCGCAAGGCGCGCCCCUCGGGGCGCUGCGCUGCAACGGCCUGCGAGCUCCCCAUCCGACCCGUCUUGAAACACGGACCAAGGAGUCUGACAUGCGUGCGAGUCGACGGGUUCUGAAACCUGGGAUGCGCAAGGAAGCUGACGAGCGGGAGGCCUUCACGGGCUGCACCGCUGGCCGACCCUGAUCUUCUGUGAAGGGUUCGAGUUGGAGCACGCCUGUCGGGACCCGAAAGAUGGUGAACUAUGCCUGAGCGGGGCGAAGCCAGAGGAAACUCUGGUGGAGGCUCGAAGCGAUACUGACGUGCAAAUCGUUCGUCUGACUUGGGUAUAGGGGCGAAAGACUAAUCGAACCAUCUAGUAGCUGGUUCCCUCCGAAGUUUCCCUCAGGAUAGCUGGAGCCCAUUACGAGUUCUAUCGGGUAAGCCAAUGAUUAGAGGCAUCGGGGGCGCAACGCCCUCGACCUAUUCUCAACUUUAAUAGGUAGGACGCACGCUGCUCCGUGAGCCGUGCCAUGGAAUCGGGCUCCAAGUGGCCAUUUUUGUAAGCAGAACUGCAUGACGGAUGACCGAAGCCGGUACGUCCAACUUCAGGCAAUUCGUUUUCUAACAAGGUUUUU